UUUUCAAAUGGGAAUGGAAAGAAGAGAUGGAGAGAGAGAGGAGAGGAGGGGAGGAAGGGAAAAGGGAUUGAAUAAAUGGAAAUAGAGCUUUUUUCAGAUGGGAAGGGGAACAAGAAUAUGUGGGAGUAGGAAAGGAUAGAAGGAGGAGGGAGCAAAAAAGAAUUAAGAUGUGCUAUGUACAUGUACAAACUCCCCAUGGUAAAUGCAAUUGUUAUGUUCUGCAGACAUGUACUAAUAAAAAAAAAAGAAAUAUAAAUCAUGAGCUAGACCACAUGAGACUCAAAUUCUAGUUGGCAGAAUGGUCAAAAGUUAUAACAUAAACAGGUGGUAAAAAUAAUCAAUGGAUAUCAAACAUUUUAGGUAUUUGAGAAGAAAUAUUGUUUUGUGGGAUAAUCAAGAAAACUACAGAAAGGGUGAAAUUGAGCAGAAAUUUAGGGAGGUGACCUCUUAUCCCCCAAUCCUUUAUUCCCGACAGAGGAGCCAUUCUAAGACCCCACCAGUGGAUGUCUGAAACUGGGGACAAUACCAAACCUAUACUAUAUCUGUGUUUUUCCUGUGCAUAAAUACCUGUGAUAAAGUUUAGCUUAUACAUUAGGCACAGUGAAAAACUAAUGAUAAUAACUAACAAUAAAAUAGGACAAUUCUAAAAAUACGCUUGUACUUUAAUAAAACUACCAGCACCAUGACUCUUGCACUUUGGGGACAUCAUUAAAUAAAAUAAGGGUUAUUUGAACGCAGGGACUAUCAUACUAUGGUAAUUGAUCUCUUGACCUGAAUGGCUGCUCAGUGAUUAAUAGGUUGAUAGUGUAUACACCGUGGAAAUGCUGAACAAAAGUGAUGAUUCAUGUUCCAGGAAUGAUGGAGAGGGGUGAUAUAAGAUUUCAUGAUAUUACUCAGAAUGUCUAGUAAUUUAAAGCAUAUUAGUUUUUAUUUCUGGACUCUUUCAUUCAGUAUUUUCAGAACUGAAUUGACUGCAGGUAACUGAAACCAUAGCAGAUAACAGGGACCAGCUGUACGUGAGAAGGAGGGAGAAGGCAACUUCUUGCUUGAGAUUAUUUUUGCCAAGCAGAGUUGUGAGGGCUGCGUGAAGUAAUCCUUCAUUGUGAUUCAUCCAAGGGAGCCUGAAUCAGCACGUGGUCAUUUCCUGUGUGGUGAGUGGGGUGGGGAGGCUGCCUUGAGUGCAACAGUGUCAUCAAAGGGAUGGGUGUGGGGCUUGGGAGUAUUAACUUAGUGAUGGCAUGUAGUAUGAAAUGGAAUAAGGGAGCAUGUGUGUGUUGAGCUAAGGGAAAUAGACAUGAAGACAUGGGGGCUUGAGCUAGCCAUAGUAUAGGCAAUGAUGAUGUGUAUAUUGGAAGAAAAGAAUGAAGGGGUCUGGAGAAGGGAAAGCUAAAUGUAGAUCAUGAAACUCAGAGGGAAAUAUAUUAAUUUCAGGAUAAAGAAAGAAGCGUCAAACUAGUCCAGGAAACUACUAAGGAAAAACCUAAAAUAAACGAUUGGUUUUGUUUUUGUUUUUCUUUGCUCAGCACCUUAUUCAACUCUUUCCUUUGGGUUAGUGACUCUCUUUUCCCUUUGGUUACAUACCUUUUAGCUGGUAAAUCAGAAUUCUUAAUUAUCUUAACUUUCUUAGCACCAGUAUUAGUUCUGGAGAUGAACAUAAGACUCAACCAGGCAGAAUCUUUCCUCACAAUUUUUCUAUCAGAAGAUACAUCCUCUUGGCCUCUCUGCAUACAGAAGCUAGAAGGUUUUCAAUCAGGAGAAAGCCUGUGGUGGAAGUAUGUGAAGCCAAAUAGAGAUCACAAGGGAUAACAUAGAGGAGAGACAGAAAGACAGAGGCUAGGUAAUCCUGAGGGUAGUUUUAUUUCCUAAGACCCACAGAGUUGCACUGGUUUCUGCCAGACAUCUUUUUAAAUUUCUGUGAGCUAACUACUAUCCUUCUGAUAAAUUUCUUUCCAUUUAAGAAUGCCAACAGAUCUGACUUUUUAACUUUUUUACAAAAAUAGACUAUUUUAUGGACAUCAAAAUACUAGCAAAAAGAAUUAAUCA
ensembl:lncRNA